AGGCCAAGCCUCCGUGGCCGUGUGUCCUGCAGGUAUUCGCAGAUUUAUGGCUAAAAGACCGGGACCCCCUGGAAGCCCAGAAAUGGGACUGUUGACAUUCAGUGAUGUAGCCAUAGAAUUCUCUUUGGAGGAGUGGCAAUGCCUGAAUCAUACUCAGCGGAAUUUAUAUAGAGACGUGAUGUUCGAGAACUACAGAAAACCUGGUCUCCCUGGGUAUUACUGUCUCUAAACCAGAAUUGAUCACCCGUCUGGAGGAAAACAAAGAGCCCUGUAAUAUAAAGAGAAAUGAGAUGGUAGCCAAACACCCAGUAACAUAUUCUUAUCUUACCCAAGACCUUCAGCCA